UGCUCAACGCCGGUUGAAUAUGGCCAGUGUCAGUAAACAUGAGGGAAAUAACGUAAUUUGAAUUAUUGUCAACAGCACAGUUAGUCACCAAUGUUUUGAAUAAACAUGGAAAAGUCUGACCUGCUCUGCUAGGGGACACCGAAGCAUGUCUUGUACUCAAGAUCCUAAAUGGCCUGUAUAGGACCAUGCCCCAGGACUACCUGACAUGAUGACUCCUUGCUGUCCUCAGUCCACCUGACCGUGCUGCUGCUCCAGUUUCAACUGUUCUGCCUUAUUAUUAUUUGACCAUGCUGGUCAUUUAUGAACAUUUGAAAAUCUUGGCCAUGUUCUGUUAUAAUCUCCACACCGGCACAGCCAGAAGAGGACUGACCACCCCACAGCCUGGUUCCUCUCUAGGUUUCUUCCUAGGUUUUGGCCUUUCUCAGGAGUUUUUCCUAGCCACUGUGCUUCUACACCUGCAUUGCUUGCUGUUUAGGUUUUAGGCUGGGUUUCUGUAGGGCUAUAUAAAUAAAUUUGAUUUGAUUUGGAGUA